GUGGGGAAUAUUGGACAAUGGGCGAAAGCCUGAUCCAGCCAUGCCGCGUGUGUGAAGAAGGUCUUCGGAUUGUAAAGCACUUUAAGUUGGGAGGAAGGGCAGUAAGUUAAUACCUUGCUGUUUUGACGUUACCGACAGAAUAAGCACCGGCUAACUUCGUGCCAGCAGCCGCGGUAAUACGAAGGGUGCAAGCGUUAAUCGGAAUUACUGGGCGUAAAGCGCGCGUAGGUGGUUUUGUAAGUUGGAGGUGAAAUCCCCGGGCUCAACCUGGGAACUGCCUCCAAAACUACUGAGCUAGAGUACGGUAGAGGGUAGUGGAAUUUCCUGUGUAGCGGUGAAAUGCGUAGAUAUAGGAAGGAACACCAGUGGCGAAGGCGACUACCUGGACUGAUACUGACACUGAGGUGCGAAAGCGUGGGGAGCAAACAGGAUUAGAUACCCGAGUAGUCC
rnacentral:rRNA from 1 species